AUGGCAAUUAAGGACCAGGAGAAGACAACAUUUAUAACUCCCUUUGGAGCCUUCUGCUAUGUGUCUAUGCCCUUCGGUCUCAAGAGUGCCCAGGCAACUUACCAACGGUGUGUACAAAAUUGUCUUCACAAGCAGAUUGGCCGUAAUGUACAUGCUUACGUGGAUGAUAUCGUGGUUAAAUCCAGGGAGAAGGAGACUCUGAUUGAUGAUUUGAAGGAAACCUUUGAUAACCUGAGAACAUACAAGAUGAUGCUUAAUCCGGACAAGUGUGUCUUUGGUGUACCGGCGGGCAAGCUAUUGGGUUUUCUAGUGUCCAACAGGGGAAUUGAGGCUAAUCCAGAGAAGAUCACGGCUAUCACCUCCCUGGCUAAACCGAAGUGUAUCAACGAUGUUUAA
rnacentral:rRNA from 1 species